CCUACGGGGGGCAGCAGUGAGGAAUAUUGGUCAAUGGGCGCGAGCCUGAACCAGCCAAGUCGCGUGAAGGAUGACUGCCCUACGGGUUGUAAACUUCUUUUAUCAAGGAAUAAAGUGAGGCACGUGUGCCUCUUUGUAUGUACCUUAUGAAUAAGGAUCGGCUAACUCCGUGCCAGCAGCCGCGGUAAUACGGAGGAUCCGAGCGUUAUCCGGAUUUAUUGGGUUUAAAGGGAGCGGAGAUGGGUUGUUAAGUCAGUUGUGAAAGUUUGCGGCUCAACCGUAAAAUUGCAGUUGAUACUGGCAGUCUUGAGUACAGUUGAGGUAGGCGGAAUGCGUGGUGUAGCGGUGAAAUGCUUAGAUAUCACGAAGAACUCCGAUUGCGAAGGCAGCUUACUGGACUGCCACUGACGUUGAUGCUCGAAAGUGUGGGUAUCAAACAGGAUUAGAUACCCUUGUAGUC
rnacentral:rRNA from 1 species